GGGCAAUUAGCUCAGCUGGUUAGAGUAUUACCUUGACAUGGUAGGGGUCACUGGUUCGAUCCCAGUAUUGCCCACAA
rnacentral:tRNA from 1 species